CUACGGAGGGUGCAAGCGUUAAUCGGAAUUACUGGGCGUAAAGCGCGCGUAGGCGGUUUGAUCAGUCGGAUGUGAAAGCCCUGGGCUCAACCUGGGAUCUGCAUUCGAUACUGUCAGACUAGAAUAUGGUAGAGGGUAGUGGAAUUCCUGGUGUAGCAGUGAAAUGCGUAGAUAUCAGGAGGAACAUCAGUGCCGAAGGCGGCUACCUGGACCAAUAUUGACGCUGAGGUGCGAAAGCGUGGGGAGCAAACAGGAUUAGAAACCCUAGUAGUCC
rnacentral:rRNA from 1 species